UCGUUCAAAGUUAAUUGGGCAGACAAAAAUUUGUUUGAUGUUUUUAAGCUUCUGGAUCAUACUUUUAAAAUACCUCACUCUAUUGAUGUCAACAUCUGAAGCCUUACAACAGCAUACCUUUCAAUAAUAUCUCACUCAAUAUUACAUCAUGUGUAAAAAUGCGCAUUUGAAUACAAUUAAAAUGUGU